AAUUUUAUUUAUUUUUUUACUUAAAUGCUACACGACAAAAUGACAAUACAAAUGGCAAUACAUUUGUAUUGUCAUUUUGUCGUGUUGUUCAUUUGUCUAUUCUAAUGUUUAUCAAAUAAAACUUACUUAUAACAGUUCAAGUAGGUUGUAGUUAUUACGUAAGUAAUAAUAAAUAGUGCUUGUUGUAAUUUAUUACACAGCACGUAUACCUCUAAUGGUUAAUGUAAUAUAUACUAGAAAGUUGUCAGUGAAAUUGUAUAAAUUGUGCCAAGAAAUUAGUAAUUCUUGUCAGGAAAUAACAAAAUCUAGCUAUGUAAUGAAAAUAAACUGGAUCAUGUGCGGCAUAGUGCUAAUCAUACUAUUGAAUUUGAUACCUGAACUUAUAAAUGUUAUUUAUAACUGUUACAACUGGAAAACUGGAAUGGAAUGGAUUUUUAUGUUAGUGGAAGUUUAUCGAAAAAUGAUUCGCCCGUUAAUUUGGGACUUAGAUUUGAUGCUGUGGAUACAUUUUUGUAACAUACUUAGAAUGAACGUACAGUCCAUCAACAAUCUUUUGGGUGAAAAAUACCUUAAGAAGGCAAUUGGAAAAACUUGUAAAACCAAAUGCUCAAUUAUCGUCGCUGAAAAAAAUUCAGAGCCAGAGAAAGAAACAUUAAAAAAAUGUAUUUAUGUUUUCGAAAGAACUAAUUAUGCUUUCACUUUAUUGAAGCGAAUUCAUAAAUAUUCGAUUUUCACAUUUUGCGCAAAAACUUUUAUUAUAGGCUUAUUUCGUUUCAGGGAAAUAUUGCUUAAUAUAUUAAGUGACAGUAAAAUAAUUUCACACGGAAUUGAUUGGGAGUUAAUUUUGUUUAAAAAUGUUAGGAACCUUUUUAUUAUAGCACUGCUAAGUACAACUGCGGAGUUGUAUUGUAAAGAGUUGGACGAUACACGUAAAAUUGCUUCGCAAAUAAUGGACUACACUAAGGAAAAAACCCAAGUAUACGAUGUUGUGAAAACAAUACUAUGGUUAAUUGAAGAAACGCCGCCGGAUUUUGUGUUCUUCGGGUUCUUUAAGCUCGACGGCACAUUGCCUUUUAAAUAUAUAACUCAGUAUUUAACUUACGCGGUA